rnacentral:rRNA from 1 species
AAAUAGACGUACCCAGGUAGUCCAUGCCGUAAACGUUGGGAACUAGAUGUGGGGACCAUUCCGGCGGUUUCCGUGUCGCAGCUAACGCAUUAAGUUCCCCGCCUGGGGAGUACGGCCGCAAGGCUAAAACUCAAAGGAAUUGACGGGGGCCCGCACAAGCGGCGGAGCAUGCGGAUUAAUUCGAUGCAACGCGAAGAACCUUACCAAGGCUUGACAUAUACCGGAAAGGUCUGGAAACAGUCCCCCCGCAAGGUCGGUAUACAGGUGGUGCAUGGUUGUCGUCAGCUCGUGUCGUGAGAUGUUGGGUUAAGUCCCGCAACGAGCGCAACCCUCGUCUUAUGUUGCCAGCGGUUCGGCCAGGGACUCAUAAGAGACUGCCGGGGUCAACUCGGAGGAAGGUGGGGAUGAGGUCAAAUCAUCAUGCCCCUUAUGUCUUGGGCUUCACGCAUGCUACAAUGGCCGGUACAAAGGGCUGCAAUACCGCGAGGUGGAGCGAAUCCCAAAAGGCCGGUCUCAGUUCGGAUUGAGGUCUGCAACUCGACCCA